GAUUUCUGGUGUGGUGCGCCGAGCCCGCCGCCGUCAAGGCGGUGAGUGCUUGCGCGCGCCUACCAUCCUUCCGGAGGGCCCGCUCUACUCUUAACUGGGCGGAGUUGGCGAUCUGGAUCAUUUACUUUGAAAAAAUUAGAGUGUUUAAAGCAGGCGUUUGUUAUGAAUACAUUAGCAUGGAAUAAUAAGAUAGGACUUUGGUUCUAUUUUGUUGGUUUCUAGGACUGAAGUAAUGAUUGAUAGGGACAGUUGGGGGUGCUAGUAUUUAACGGCCAGAGGUGAAAUUCUUGGAUUCGUUAAAGACUAACUUAUGCGAAAGCAUU
rnacentral:rRNA from 1 species